UAGGGAAUCUUCCACAAUGGACGCAAGUCUGAUGGAGCAACGCCGCGUGAGUGAAGAAGGUUUUCGGAUCGUAAAGCUCUGUUGUUGGUGAAGAAGGAUAGAGGCAGUAACUGGUCUUUAUUUGACGGUAAUCAACCAGAAAGUCACGGCUAACUACGUGCCAGCAGCCGCGGUAAUACGUAGGUGGCAAGCGUUGUCCGGAUUUAUUGUGCGUAAAGCGAGCGCAGGCGGAAUGAUAAGUCUGAUGUGAAAGCCCACGGCUCAACCGUGGAACUGCAUCGGAAACUGUCAUUCUUGAGUGCAGAAGAGGAGAGUGGAAUUCCAUGUGUAGCGUUGGAAUGCGUAGAUAUAUGGAAGGACACCAGUGGCUAAGGCGGGUCUCUGGUCUGCAACUGACGCUGAGGCUCGAAAGCAUGGGUAGCGAACAGG
rnacentral:rRNA from 1 species